CGGAGAAUUGUGCAAAACGCGAGAUUUGUUCGCAAUGAUAAUAACUUAAUAAACACUAUAAAUUGCAGGUGCAUUUAUGUAAUGCGGCGUGAGCGUUGCGAUGCAUAUGAGCACGAUGAUUGUGUAAUAGUGAUCACCCUCGCGUGAUCACCCAUACACGGGUUGACUAUAAAUUAUCCACCUCGAAUCGGACAUUGUGACACUUGCAUCGCCAUCGGCAUCUUAUUACCUUGUAUAACUCAACGCUGCACGCAGGAAAGGCAAUAGAUUUCGAAUUAAUGACGGAAAAUUGUCCAAACUAGCGUAGUUAAGCUCGUCUCUGCUUUACCCUUAUACUCGUGGCCCUUUCUGUCGUCGAGGGUGCGUUGUGGUGGUCGUUGGUCAAGCGCCUUAACUCCUCCAAUCGUUAAGUAAAGACGACGACGACGGCGACGAUGUGGUGGCCAAGAGGAAACUUGUAACACGGUGUUGGGCAAACUUGCGACAAGAAACUUAAAUUGGGCGACGCGCCGCAAGACCUUUGACGACAUAAUUAAAGUUGAUAUUCGAUGCUAAUCAAUCGGCACUGGCCACCAA